AUUGAGUAGCCUUGGUUAAAAUGCAUAUUGAAUGGAAACAUAUGUUUAAUUAGAACUUAAACAUAUGUUCACUCCACCAGAAAUCCAAGAAUGUGGUCUAUGGCAAGGAAACAUAUGUGAGGUGAAGUUUAUGAGCCUUUGGUCGAUAAUCAAUGGCCACACAACCCCCAUUUUUGUCGAAAAUAGCCAUGAACGACCAUUUUCAAUAAUACCGAAGGCUAACACCAACGGAUUUUUGACCAAGAAAUGGUCUCCACCAUAAAUCCAAGAAUGUGAUCUAUGGCAAGGAAACAUAUGUGGGGUGAGGUGUAUGAGCCUCUAGUCGAUGAUCAAUGGCCACACAAAUCCAUUUUUGUCGAAAAUAGCCAUGAACGACCAUUUUCAAUAAUACCGAAGGCUAACACCUACGGAUUUUUGACCAAGAAAUGGUCUCCACCAGAAAUCCAAGAAUGUGAUCUACGGCAAGGAAACAUAUGUGGGGUGAGGUGUAUGAGCCUCUGGUCAACGAUCAAUGGCCACACAACCCUAAUUUUUGUCGAAAAUAGCCAUGAACGACCAUUUUCAAUGACACUGAAGGCUAACACCUACGGAAUUUUUGACCAAGAAAUGGUCUCCACCAUAAAUCCAAGAAUGUGAUCUAUGGCAAGGAAACAUAUGUGUAGUGAGGUUUAUGAGCCUCUGGUCGAUGAUCAAUGGCCACACAACCCCCAUUUUUGUCGAAAAUAGCCAUGAACGACCAUUUUCAAUAAUACCGAAGGCUAACACCUACGGAUUUUUGACAAACAAAUGGUCUCCACCAGAAAUCCAAGAAUGUGGUCUAUGG
rnacentral:lncRNA from 1 species